rnacentral:rRNA from 1 species
AUGUCGCGCCUGAACUAUGGGAUUGUCUCACUUAUCCCUAAGGUUUCGGGGGCAUCGGAUAUCCGACAGUUCCGCCUGAUCACGGUUCUGAACAUGAUCUUUAGGAUUCUGGCCAAAGGGUACGCCACUAGGGCGCCUACUUGCCCCCGGAUCCAUCAUCCUAACCAGACAAUGUUUGCCAAGGGACGAUUUAUUUUGGAUGGGCUUGUCCUACACGAGGUCCUUCACUAGGUCAAAAGGAAACACCUAUGGGCGGUUUUCUUUAAGAUUGACUUUCAUAAGGCAUAUGAUACGGUACAUUGGUCCUUUCUUCGGGAGGUGAUGUCGAAAUGA